rnacentral:rRNA from 1 species
AACGAACGCUGGCGGCAUGCCUAACACAUGCAAGUCGAACGAAGGCUUCGGCCUUAGUGGCGCACGGGUGAGUAACACGUGGGAAUCUGCCUUUCGGUUCGGGAUAACGUCUGGAAACGAACGCUAACACCGGAUACGCCCUUCUGGGGGAAAGUUUACGCCGAGAGAGGAGCCCGCGUCCGAUUAGGUAGUUGGUGAGGUAAUGGCUCACCAAGCCAUCGAUCGGUAGCUGGUCUGAGAGGAUGAUCAGCCACACUGGGACUGAGACACGGCCCAGACUCCGACGGGAGGCAGCAGUGGGGAAUAUUGGACAAUGGGGGCAACCCUGAUCCAGCAAUGCCGCGUGAGUGAUGAAGGCCUUAGGGUUGUAAAGCUCUUUCGCACGCGACGAUGAUGACAGUAGCGUGAGAAGAAGCCCCGGCUAACUUCGUGCCAGCAGCCGCCGUAAUAC